rnacentral:rRNA from 1 species
AGUGAACGCUGGCGGUAGGCCUAACACAUGCAAGUCGAACGGCAGCACAGUAAGAGCUUGCUCUUACGGGUGGCGAGUGGCGGACGGGUGAGGAAUACAUCGGAAUCUACUUUUUCGUGGGGGAUAACGUAGGGAAACUUACGCUAAUACCGCAUACGACCUUCGGGUGAAAGCAGGGGAUCUUCGGACCUUGCGCGAUUGAAUGAGCCGAUGUCGGAUUAGCUAGUUGGCGGGGUAAAGGCCCACCAAGGCGACGAUCCGUAGCUGGUCUGAGAGGAGGAUCGGCCACACUGGAACUGAGACAGGCUCCAGGCUCCUACGGGAGGCAGCAGUGGGGAAUAUUGGACAAUGGGCGCAAGCCUGGUCCAGCCAUACCGAGUGGGUUAAGAAGGCCUUCGGGUUGUAAAGCCCUUUUGUUGGGAAAGAAAAGCAGCAGGUUAAUACCCCGCUGUUCUGACGGUACCCAAUGAAUAAGCACCGGCUAACUUCGUG